AAAUUUGUUUUGCAAAACCGACUUCUCUUUCCCCCGCCCCCCUUGCAGACUUUCCCCGAAUGAAAUGGAGGUUAAAUGGAUCCCUCGUUGCUGCGAUCCUGAUCCCCCCCCUCCCCAAGGAGCAGCGCGAUGGUCCGGAUCUUUGCUUUCUCCCCUGCCUGGCCCGUACAUGCGGGGGGGUGGGGGUGGCGGCAGUGGAACAUGGGACCACGGGAUCUCCCUUUCCCAUAACUCCGAACCUGAUGAAGUUUUGCAGGUCGCCAUGCACGCCUCCAAUAACAACGUUUGGAUCUCCAUCCGUGUAAGAUUUCCCUGCAAACUCUUGGACUUUUGGAGAAACUCAGCCGAGGCUCACAGCGAAGGGAAGCCGGAUCGGAGACGUUGCCUUUUCAAAUUCAUGCCUCUGGGCAGCUAACAGCAGCUCAAAAGAGCAAGUGGUGGCAGCAAAAAUGAGAAGAAUCCAGAAGAAACCAUCUUGCUUGAAAAAGGGGCAUCAAAAGGAAAGUUCCAAAAUGGAGAGAAA